rnacentral:rRNA from 1 species
CCUACGGGAGGCAGCAGUAAGGAAUAUUGGUCAAUGGACGCAAGUCUGAACCAGCCAUGCCGCGUGAAGGAUGAAGGCCCUCUGGGUUGUAAACUUCUUUUAUCUGGGACGAAAAAAGGGAAUUCUUUCCCACUUGACGGUACCAGAGGAAUAAGCACCGGCUAACUCCGUGCCAGCAGCCGCGGUAAUACGGAGGGUGCAAGCGUUAUCCGGAUUUACUGGGUUUAAAGGGUGCGUAGGUGGAUUAGUAAGUCAGGGGUGAAAUCUUCAAGCUUAACUUGGAAACUGCCUUUGAUACUAUUAGUCUUGAAUAUCCUGGAGGUGAGCGGAAUAUGUCAUGUAGCGGUGAAAUGCUUAGAUAUGACAUAGAACACCAAUUGCGAAGGCAGCUCACUACGGGAUCAUUGACACUGAGGCACGAAAGCGUGGGGAUCAAACA